GGCCUGUUCGUCUAGCGGCAAGGACUCUUGACUUUCAAUCAAGAUAACGCGGGUUCGAAUCCCGUGCAGGUCACCA
rnacentral:tRNA from 1 species